GUGCCUCGGCAUCAGCGUGCUC
rnacentral:snRNA from 1 species